UACGAAGGGUGCAAACGUUGCUCGGAAUCAUUGGGCGUAAAGAGCGCGUAGGCGGCCAGAUGAGUCCGGUGUGAAAGUCAAAGGCUCAACCUUUGAAUGCCGCUGGAAACUGUCUGGCUAGAGUCCGGGAGGGGCGAGUGGAAUUCCCGGUGUAGUGGUGGAAUGCGUAGAGAUCGGGAGGAACACCAGUGGCGAAAGCGGCUCUCUGGUCCAAAACUGACGCUGAGGGGCGAAAGCGUGGGGAGCGAACGGG
rnacentral:rRNA from 1 species